CCUGAGCUGAAAUCAAGAGUCAGAUGCUCAACCGACUGAGCCACCCUGGCGCCUGAAGUUGUUUUUUAAGUCUGAUGUUACCUCUAUAUCAUUUACCUACAUUGUAGUUGGGGAUGUACUCCAUUAUUCCUAAGAAUACCAUAGAUAGUGAUAGUCAUACCCCAUUUCUGGAAGAAUUUUUAGCUGGGCAUGUGGCCAUCCAAAAUAAAUUUCCCAGCCUUCUUUGAAGAUAAGUGCAUGUGCCCAAUGGCCCUGCGAUCCUAAGUAGAAAUAACGUGUCCAGCUUCCAGGUUGUAACCUUAAAAGGAGAGGGGCGUGUCUUCCAGCUCCUCUCUUCCCCGUUCCCUCUGGCUGGAAUGUGAAAUUCCAGCUAUCCCAGGCCAUAUGGAUGAGGCUGCACGCCGGGGCUGGCAGAGCCAUGAGGCAGAUGUGGCCUGGGCCUGGCACCAAACACUGGACAGCUUCACUUGGACUGCCGACGUCAGAGAGAAGUUUCCCUCUGGGACUAGUUACAGACUCUGAAUCCAUCCCCUAAUUCCGACACCCAGCCCUGAGCAGUCAGAAAUGAAAGGGCUGGAAGCAUCAUCCCGGGGUCAGUGGCCUGGUGGUAAAAAAUGUGAUCGAGUCACCUCAUUUGUAGAACAAAUGACAGUACUUUGGCUGUCACAGUGAUUCCUGUUUAGUAAAUGGGAACAGUUCAAGAAGUGCUCUUUCCUCACCAUCCGAGUCCUCAUUUUCAUACUUCAAGUAGAGGCAGGGAUCAAAAGCUCUGGACUUGGUGCCAGACAACCUUGAGUUUGAAACUUCAGCCCCGUCACUGACUGUCUGACUACUGUCCCCAUACCUAUGUCAUAAGGCCAUUAUGAAGAUGUAGUGAGAUAAGAUGCACAGAACAUGGCCAGAGGAAGCACCAAAUCAGAGUCCUACACUAUUGUUUGUGUGUAGGACUUUUUCCCUAGCAACCGACAGAAACCUAAUUGAAGCUGGCUUUCGCAUUUUGUGAUCUCUAAGCAGCAUCCUGGGCAUUAUUGGGCUUUGCAGCUCGUUAAGAGAAGCCACCACCAAAUCGUGUUCCUGCAGCAUUUCCGGGUAGCGGGACACCGCUCGCUCAAUCCUCGCCGACCGGCGCACGGGAGUGAUCAGCUUCAUGUCGUGCACUUCUGCUAUUCCACUUAUCCUGUGAGACAGAAAGAGAGAAAGACAAGACUUUUCAGAUUCCGUUUUAUUGGCCAGCUCUUCUAUUGAUGUUAUAUUCGUCUCAGCAACUGAAGAGUCAGAG